rnacentral:rRNA from 1 species
CAGCCCUAAACGAUGCGCGUUAGGUGUAUCGGUGACCACGAGUCACCGAGGUGCCGAAGGGAAACCGUGAAACGUGCCGCCUGGGAAGUACGGUCGCAAGGCUGAAACUUAAAGGAAUUGGCGGGGGGAGCACCACAACGGGUGGAGCCUGCGGUUUAAUCGGACUCAACGCCGGGAAUCUCACCGGAUAAGACAGCUGAAUGAUAGUCGGGAUGAAGACUCUACUUGACUAGCUGAGAGGAGGUGCAUGGCGUAGUCGUGU